rnacentral:rRNA from 1 species
CACCGCGGUUAUACGAGAGGCCCAAGUUGACAAAUACGGCGUAAAGGGUGGUUAAGGAGAAUACUAAUAAAGCCAAAGGGCCUCCUGGCCGUCAUACGUUUCCGAGCGUCCGAAACCCAUAAACGAAAGUAGCUUUAACACAGCCCACCUGACCCCACGAAAACUGAGAAA